UUAUAUAGUCACUGGAAUAUGAUAUCUAAUCGAUAUUUUUGUUCCAUAAGUUUUUAGAAAUCGCAUUUUUCUGUAAAAGGUAGGCAGUGCAUUAAGCCUUUAUUUAUUAGCCCAAGUUCUUCAUUAUUCAAAGUCAUUCUUAUAAAAACCUCAGUAGAGUAAGGUCGUGUCUUUUGUCGUACAUUUUUAAAUUUGCCGGUCUGAAAUUUCUGGGUGUUUCUCUGAGAAAUCAUAUUUCGUCGUACAUUUUUAAACUUACCGGUCAAGGAUUCCAUUUCUGGGACGAUGAUUCCCUGCAGACUUUACGGACAGAAGUAGAUAAAGUUGAAGGGUCAGCGGUUUUUAUGAUGGCAUCAGCAACAAUUUACAACCAAUCUGCCCAAAAAGACGACAGAGGAGGGAUGUGAAGAAGAAUUCGAUGCUUCUAGAACUCGAAGGAAGUGCCGACGUCAUUGCAGCCUGCUUAGGUGGUCUUACCGGGGUGGGGAUAUCCGGGAGAUCUGACCUAUGUGAUCCAUGGGAUCCACAUGGGUCUAAUCUCACGGAUUAUCAUCAUUCCGGUAAGAUCAUCUUCGCAAUCCAUCAAUUGCAAAUACUCUACCGCAGUAAACUGGCUGAAGAAAAUGGAAGCCACAUCCUGGAAUUGCCACUGGUUGCGGUAUAAACACAAUAUCAACGUCUUUCAGAGGAAAUCAUUCCUUCUCCAGUAUAAUAAAUCUAACUAAUGUGAAA